rnacentral:rRNA from 1 species
AUGAACGCUAGCUACAGGCUUAACACAUGCAAGUCGAGGGGCAGCAUGGUCUUAGCUUGCUAAGGCCGAUGGCGACCGGCGCACGGGUGAGUAACACGUAUCCAACCUGCCGUCUACUCUUGGACAGCCUUCUGAAAGGAAGAUUAAUACAAGAUGGCAUCAUGAGUCCGCAUGUUCACAUGAUUAAAGGUAUUCCGGUAGACGAUGGGGAUGCGUUCCAUUAGAUAGUAGGCGGGGUAACGGCCCACCUAGUCUUCGAUGGAUAGGGGUUCUGAGAGGAAGGUCCCCCACAUUGGAACUGAGACACGGUCCAAACUCCUACGGGAGGCAGCAGUGAGGAAUAUUGGUCAAUGGGCGAGAGCCUGAACCAGCCAAGUAGCGUGAAGGAUGACUGCCCUAUGGGUUGUAAACUUCUUUUAUAAAGGAAUAAAGUCGGGUAUGGAUACCCGUUUGCAUGUACUUUAUGAAUAAGGAUCGGCUAACUCCGUGCCAGCAGCCGCGGUAAUACGGAGGAUCCGAGCGUUAUCCGGAUUUAUUGGGUUUAAAGGGAGCGUAGAUGGAUGUUUAAGUCAGUUGUGAAAGUUUGCGGCUCAACCGUAAAAUUGCAGUUGAUACUGGAUAUCUUGAGUGCAGUUGAGGCAGGCGGAAUUCGUGGUGUAGCGGUGAAAUGCUUAGAUAUCACGAAGAACUCCGAUUGCGAAGGCAGCCUGCUAAGCUGCAACUGACAUUGAGGCUCGAAAGUGUGGGUAUCAAACAGGAUUAGAUACCCUGGUAGUCCACACGGUAAACGAUGAAUACUCGCUGUUUGCGAUAUACUGCAAGCGGCCAAGCGAAAGCGUUAAGUAUUCCACCUGGGGAGUACGCCGGCAACGGUGAAACUCAAAGGAAUUGACGGGGGCCCGCACAAGCGGAGGAACAUGUGGUUUAAUUCGAUGAUACGCGAGGAACCUUACCCGGGCUUAAAUUGCAGAUGAAUUACGGUGAAAGCCGUAAGCCGCAAGGCAUCUGUGAAGGUGCUGCAUGGUUGUCGUCAGCUCGUGCCGUGAGGUGUCGGCUUAAGUGCCAUAACGAGCGCAACCCUUGUUGUCAGUUACUAACAGGUUCCGCUGAGGACUCUGACAAGACUGCCAUCGUAAGAUGUGAGGAAGGUGGGGAUGACGUCAAAUCAGCACGGCCCUUACGUCCGGGGCUACACACGUGUACAAUGGGGGGUACAGAGGGCCGCUACCACGCGAGUGGAUGCCAAUCCCCAAAACCUCUCUCAGUUCGGACUGGAGUCUGCAACCCGACUCCACGAAGCUGGAUUCGCUAGUAAUCGCGCAUCAGCCACGGCGCGGUGAAUACGUUCCCGGGCCUUGUACACACCGCCCGUCAAGCCAUGGGAGCCGGGGGUACCUGAAGUGCGUAACCGCGAGGAGCGCCCUAGGGUAAAACUGGUGACUGGGGCU